rnacentral:rRNA from 1 species
UCCGUAGGUGAACCUGCGGAAGGAUCAUUACCGAGUGCGGGUUCCAACGAGCCCAACCUCCCACCCGUGUUUACCAUGACCGCGUUGCCUCGGCGGGCCCACUGGGGCCUGGCCCCGGUCGCCGGGGGGCUUCUGCCCCCGGGUCCGCGCCCGCCGAAGCGCCCUGGAACCCUGUCUGAAUAGUGAGUCUGAGUCUAUGAUUAAAUCAUUAAAACUUUCAACAACGGAUCUCUUGGUUCCGGCAUCGAUGAAGAACGCAGCGAAAUGCGAUAAGUAAUGUGAAUUGCAGAAUUCCGUGAAUCAUCGAAUCUUUGAACGCACAUUGCGCCCCCUGGCAUUCCGGGGGGCAUGCCUGUCCGAGCGUCAUUUCUGCCCUCCAGCCCGGCUGGGUGUUGGGUGUUGUCCCCCCGGGGACACGCCCCAAAGGCAGUGGCGGCGCCGCGUCGGGUCCUCGAGCGUAUGGGGCUUUGUCACCCGCUCGGGACGGACUCGUCGGCGCUGGUCUUCCUCCAGGCGACCCUUCGGGGCCCGUCUACCUUCGGUUGACCUCGGAUCAGGUAGGGUUACCCGCUGAACUUAAGCAUAUCAAUAAGCGGAGGA